CUUAGCUACAAUCAAAUUAUGUG
rnacentral:snRNA from 1 species